rnacentral:rRNA from 1 species
GCCUAUAUACCACCGUCGCACAGCAUUACCCUGUGAAGGAAAAAAAGUAAGCAAGAUGGAAAUCUUCCAAAACGUCAGGUCGAGGUGUAGCACACGAAGUGGGAAGAAAUGGGCUACAUUGCCUGACACAGGCUACUCACGAAAAGUCACCUGAAAUGGUAACUCAAAGGUGGAUUUAGCAGUAAAUAAAGGAGUAGAAUGCCUUUUUGAAGCCGGCCCUGAGGCGCGCACACACCGCCCGUCACUCUCCCCAACAAUAACUACCUUAAGUAAAUAACACCACAAAACAUAACAAGGGGAGGCAAGUCGUAACAUGGUAAGUGUACCGGAAGGUGCACUUGGAAUAACA